GACGAACGCUGGCGGCGUGCCUAAUACAUGCAAGUAGGACGCAGUUGCGAACGGGUGAGAAACGCGUAGGUAACUGCCUAUUAGAGGGGGAUGAGUACUGGAACCGAUAGCUAAUACCGCAUACUAGUAGAUGGACCUGCGUUUUAUUAGCUAGUAGGUAGGGUAAUGGCCUACCUAGGCAACGAUACAUAGCCGACCUGAGAGGGUGAUCGGCCAAACUUGGACUGAGACACGGCCCAGACUCCCACGGGAGGCAGCAGUAGGGAAUCUUCGGCAAUGGGGGGAACCCGGACCGAGCAACGCCGCGUUAGUGAAGAAGGUUUUCGGAUCGUAAAGCUCUGUUGUUAAGGAAGCGGUACUUAACCAGAAAGGGACGGCUAACUACGUGCCAGCAGCCGCGGUAAUUC
rnacentral:rRNA from 1 species